UUUGCGGCGGGCGGGCGGCGCCGUGCCUCAGUUUCCCCCGUGGCGGUGGGGGGACGCGGGGCGCGUCGCACCUGUUGGCGGCCGGGCCCGAGGAGCCCCCGCGGGGUCUUUUGUCGGCGGGGCCCGGGAGGGUGGAGGGGGCGGUCCGCGCGCGGUCGCGUUUCGCGCCCCGGGUGCCGCGAAUCCCGGAGGGGUUCUGCCCUCGGAAAGCCUCUCGGCGCCUCUCGGGAGGUCCGUAAGUUUGGCGUCGGGUUUCGCUGGCUGCGGUCGUUUCGGUGAAAAUAAGCGACGGGCUGCGCGGAUCCGUCGUCCCCGCGUCCCGACGCAGCCCGAGCCGAGCGGGAGCCGAGGGGGGGAGAGGGCAGGCGGCCGUGCCCCGCAGCCGGCGCCGGGAGCGGAGCCUCGCAGCCGGGGGACGCGGGGAGCGGAGGUGGGGAGGGAGGCGCGUCGUCCUGAGACCCCGCUCAAUCCGGCGAGGAAGAUGGAGGCUCUCGCUGCUGCUGCUGCUGCUGCUGCUGCAGCAAAAAACGUGCACGGCACAAAUCUCAGCCGGCUUCUCUCGGCAUCGCUGCCUCCCUCCGCGAAAUAAAUAAAUAAGCAGCGAAAGAAUCAAAGCAGAAAAGCAUGGCUGGGUGUAGCGCGCUCCGCGAUGCCUCCUCCAUCCCGCGCUGUGCGGGCGGAAGCCCGGUGAUGGAGGCGUGCGGGGAGACGCGCUCCGGGCUUUCGGGCACGGCAGGGGAGAGCUCUCGGGCUGGGCUCGGAAGCUUGGAAUGGGCCUCGUUGGGCCGUGACGUGGGGAUGGAGAUGUUGGCCUCACACAGCCGGACCCGUGAGGAGCUUGCUCCGGCUCCGUUGGUUUUGGUGCUGGUGGAAAACCAGUGGGAGAAGCGCUGGCAGGUGGGGAGAGGGAGGGAAGGGUGGCCGAUGGAGACCUGGGAGCAGCUUGGAAAUUAGGGAGAAUUUUGAAGUCAGUGAGGGCACGAGCGAGGGGCGAGCCUGGGUGAGCCAGAUGUGGGGCGGCAGGGCUUUGGGGCACAGGAGGAAGCAGAGGUCUGUGUUUCGUUGCCGAGCAGGGGAAGGGAGAGCUUCCCGAGCAGCCCGAGGGCUGAUGGCAGAGAGUGUGUGGCCUGCCUUGUCUGUGAGUGGUGUAGGGGACCUUCUGUUAGCGUGACUUUGUGAAUCUCUGUUGAUUUUGUUGGAGUCUGGCGACAGCAAGGACGUAUCUGAUGCUUCCCAAGCCUUGGUGAAAUAGGCCUAGGGGUGAAGUCAAGCUUCUCACGUGCACCCUACCCCCGGUCUUGGAAGCAGCAAGUUUUUGCUGAUGUACCUGCAUGCGUGGCAUGCUGUCCCUCAGGAAGGGCAAGGGGUACAUGUUAUAAACAUGGUUCUUUGGUAGUCAUGGCUCAGUUCUCUUGUUUUCCUCAGUGCAGAUCAGAGCUCAUUCUAUCAGUGAGGCAGCAGUAGGAUUUUACAUCCAGUUUUGCAUGAGAGCUGAUGGGAGGUGCAGGGCGGUCAAGACCAAAAAACCAAGAUGUGCCACACUCUGGCAUUUCUGUUCACAAUAGCAGUCCUGUGAUGGAGCAGAUACACACCGCAGACAUCACACGCACAAACAAUGCCAUAAAAAUUUCAUGCACAUAUACAUGCAGAGAGCUGAUCUCAGGUCAGACGUUCUCUGUGUGGCUCUUACUGAAGAUGAGGAGAGAAGGAAGGCAAUGCCUGCGCCUGGCAGGGAGGCUGACGUGCUGUGCACAUGUACGUAUUGCACAUGUGCAUGCUCUUCCCAUCCUCUCUGGGAUCGCCUGUCUGGAGUGGGGCCGGGUUGGCAGCGUGGGUAAGUUCUGCCCCCAGAUGGCAGUUUGAUGCCCUUUCUGUUCUUGCUUUGUGCCGAGCAGCAGAGACCACUAAUGGGCCUCUGCUUGGUGUGCUGAGAGGAGAGGCCAAGGGCUAAGCAGGCACAAAGACGGUGGCAAGGAGCCUUGGGCAGAGCCACAGCGGGGAUGCUGGGGAGGGAGCAGGGCCCUGGAGCGGGCAGUGAGGCGGCAGCGCUGAAGUGGAGGCGUGAGGAGACCAUGUUGGGGGAGGAGAGCAGGCUGCUGUUUCCACAUCAUCUGAAAACUCAACCUGCUGUCAGGACAGAAGGAAGGCUUGUGCAUAUUUUAUGUCACUUUCCUCCUUCUAGGACAGCCUGCAGAUCUGAUCAGCAAUGCACUUUAAAAUCCUAGAUGCGCCAAUCGGUGAGGGUGACUGGGGGCAGGAAGGACUCCUAGCCUCCUGCCCCUCUCCUCUGUGGACAGGCGGCUCUAUAUGGUGUUGCCCUUCCCCACAGAGUGCGUAUGCAAUUAAGCCUCAACUACAGCAUGGGAUGUGCCUGGCUGCAUGAGAUGGGGACAGAAAAAGGCAAUGUCUCAAGGCUGGGAGGGGUGGGGGGAGGCAAGGAGGGGAGCUGGCCAUGUCUGUCGCCGCCUGUGGAUGGCUAAAAGGAGCCUAGAUGCACAAACUGGUUUUCCUUUGAGCUGGUUGCUGUUGCUCCAGUCAGCUCCUCUCUUGCGGCUGAGAUCUUCAGCAGUAACUCGGGAGUCAGUGGGGUUGGCGGUAAACAAAACACAUUUCACUCCUCCCGCCUGCAUUUUGCACUGUUUGGGACUGUCGGGCAUGAAGAUUUGUCCUCGUCGGUUCUUCAGUGCCACUCUGAUGUGGCAGAGCCUCAGUUGCUGCUGCUGCCCUCAGAGAUGUGAGCCCCGCAGAUGCUCCCUGCCAGCACCUACGGGUUUUAUGUAGGCUUCUCAGGCACAGCGGUUUUGAUAAGAGCCUUGCAGACACGAACACACACAUUAUUCCUGAAAGCAAGCUCAUUGCCCAUUUUGGGGCCCCUUGGGAGGCAGGAACUUUUGCUCUGUGGUGUGGACUCUCAUGUUAGUAUUCAAGUCGCUGUUGUCCCCACUUUGUCCUUCACUUCUCCCUUGGGAGAAAGACUGGUCUCAAGCACAGAGGUCUUGCAGAAGGUGAGUCCUGCUGUUGGCCUGGUGGGCAGCCUUAGGCAAAUUGCUCAGGUGCUCAGGUCGAUCCUCCUGGACCCAAAAACCAUGAGAUGGGAACAGCAGUCGCUGAUCUCCCGAGAAGCAGCAUGCCCAGCCUGUGCUGGUGAGAUGCCACGUGCCUGUCCGUGGGCAGCGUAGCAGGGUCCCUCAGCAUCGUGUGAACGAAGCACGCGUUUUGCACUGAGCGUGACUCACGCUACGAUACAUUUUGCUUGAGCUAUGCCUAAACUCGGUGCUCUGUUGGACAACGAGUUCUGUUUUGUCCUUCCAGCACAAAGCAGCGCAACUUGCCAGUGACAUGGACUGUACAUGUAUUCCCAUAACAACAGUAUUACAAACAUAUGGGGAACCUGGUAGAGCAACUGCCGUCCGUGUCUCCAUGCAAAACAAGGAACUGGUUAACAAAAACUCAAGUGUCUGAAGCUGUAUCUCCCCAGACUGUGAUCUCAUCAGAUUUCCCAAGCUAACCACAACCUGGUCACUGCUUGGAUCGUGGACUUGGGGGCGGGGGGAAGGCAGCUUGCAGGAAUCGCUAUUUGUGAUUCAGCCCGCUUCCCUCUGACUCAGUGCUGAACCAUUCCUCAGUAGGGUAUUUGGGGAUAGUGUGCUUAGAACAUUGCGCAUCAGUUUAGUUCUUGGAAGUUGUGCAGCGCCCGGGUUUGCUUACAACUGAGCUUGCCUCAGCAUCUUUCAGAAGAAACGUAAAAACAAAACUGUGAAAACUACUCCUGGCUGCUGAAGACUCCGCAGUAAUUUUUGCAAGCGAAGGAGGGGGGUGGUCGUAGCCCUGGGCGCUUUGCCAGGUUCCAGCUCAGGAAAUUGCAGUCUAUCUAGGUAAAACUCCCCUAUAGUUUCAAUGAAAAAGGUAUUCUUCUCUUCCUUGUCUUACACUGUGAGCGCUGUGUUUCUUGGGAGCCUGGAACAGAUAGCACGCUGGAGGCAGAGAGGUGGUUACGGCUGCUUGCUGGGAGAUUUUUUUAUGCAAAACCUGGGCCUUUUUUGCAUUUUUGAGACGCUUCUAAUUGCAAAAUGCUGUACACACUUCAGGUUAUUAGAAGGCUUGGCUGAACGUGGAUCAGUGUGCAAGUGUAAGCAUGAGGCAGCGCGCUGGGUGCUGUUUGCACAACAGCAGGGCAGGCAGACAGCAAAUGCGUGUUUUUCCUAUGGCAGAAAAACAAGGAACGUGUUUUUAGUCUGCAUCUGUGAGCUGGAUUUUUGUAUGUUUAGCUGCAGUUGCUUUUGGAAGCUGCUGCUGAAGCACGUAACUGGCCGUGUGCAAUUGCAGUAAUGGAAUGUGAAAAUGCAGCUACACACGGAGCUGUAAUCUUGCAUGCAAAAUACGGCUGGUGUAGUUCUCCAGAUACAAACAACGGCCUAAGAUUGUACUUGCCCUUCCGUUUAACUGCGCUCACCUGCACUUUUCAGGUGGCAGCUGUGUGUGUGGAGUGCUGAAUGAUUAUCCUUGCUAUUUUUGCUCCGAGGAGGAGGAAAUUAAAUCAUUACUGGUGGUCCGGGUAGUCCGUGUGUCACGGUAAGCACAGGAUGGAUCUCUGGGGAGUGACGGUGAUAAUUUCAUAACUCCGAAAUCCUGAGGAAAUGUGUAAAAAUGGGAGAAGAGCGAAGCGGUGACCUUCCCUUCCCAAUAUGGAUUCGUUGUAUUAACCACUGAGUCGGUUAACGAUGCCAGGAUCUGGCUUUGACUUCUGCCACAUCCCUAGAACGGCGGUGUUUUGGCACAGGUGGAUGCGGGGCUAUAUAAUGGUCCGGCGCAGGGCAGCACACACCCGAGGGUGGCGCAUCCUAGUCCAGGUUCAGCGGGUGCUGGCGAGGUGGUGGUGGCUCACCGAUGAGUAUAGCUCACUUUCUCUGCCACUUCACUCUGCAGCUUCUCUGGUGACACCGAUAACAAAGGGCUGCUCGGCGGUAGGUGAUACGGAUCUCUCACAGCUGAAUGCAGCCCACUAAACCUGAGUCACUGGCACUUCUCGCUAGCCCUGGAGCUUGGGUGUCACCAUCCAGACCCUGGCUGGGGUGACUCCGGGCAGCGCACCCUGAGAGAAGGCUGCACCCUCGCUAUAAAAUCAGGAGGCAGGACUUUCUUCUUGAAAAACGUGAUGAUGUUUUGGGGUUCUGCCCAUCUUGCCGUCUCGCCGUCCCGGGUCCUUGACUGCAGACGCUUCUAUUUUGCAUGAUGCUCGUUGUAAUUGAAUCUAUCAAUGUAUAUUUAAUACACUUGGCACCACAGUUUGUAACUAGGCACUGCUUCCCAGCCUUCUGUCACUUGCUUUCACAAUUACCACCCUCAAGUCGCAGCGGAUGCUGCCGCUCGGCUCUUUGUCCCAUUGUCGUGCUGGCUUUGAGGACCUGCAUGUGGCAGUCUCCCCACGUAGCCCCGUCCCUGGGCCUGGGUGUCAGCGGGUGUUCCAGGGCUUGGUUAACAGCAGCGAUAUCUGUUGGGUUUUAUUCUCCUCUCUGGUUUGCUAAGUGUGAUCACGGGCAAGUCCUUUAACCUUGGCUGGCCUCGGCUGACUUAUCUAUUCCAGAAAGGUGUUGUAAGGCUUAAUUAUUGCCAGCUCUUCAGAGACCCGAGGGGGAAAAAAUGCAUUUUAUUCAGAAACGUCUCUGACCUCUCUGGCCUCUCUGAGCCAUCUUGGUGGUGCUAGGAGAUAGUCUCUGUGCUCCCUUAAUAAUGUUCCUUCAAUUUUUCAUCUGUACAUUCACCCACUCUCUCAGCUGCAUGUAAAAAUGCCAAGCUGUCUGAAGUCAUGGAAAUAUUUUUAUAGUCUUGACAGCCACGACAGGCGUUCCUCCUCAGCAGUAAACAAACAAGGUACACAACCUGCCAUUAACAUCAGUUUAUAGCUGAGGGACCUUCGUCACUCACCGAGAGGGGAAUCCUAGACAGCUCCCGAGCGUGCAAGUCAGGAAGGAGCGCUGCCUGGGGUUAAGAGAGCACCUGAUCCUGUGGGCUCUUGUAUACGGUGGGUGACUGGGAAGCUCUGUUUGCCUGUGUGCGUACAGGAGAGCAAACAGGCACCGGAUAUCUGGUUUAUUCAGGGCUCUUGCAUACCGUAUUUGACUCAAGCGUAUGUGACUUUAGGGGUUUGAUGUUUAUUUGCGCGCUCAGAAGAGACAGUUUUCUGCAGUGGCAGCUGAAACAUAAAGACGGCACAAAUAAAGCUGGAUAAAUAUUAGAUGCUCUGGGAGGAAAAAAAAAAAAACAAAACCCAAAACCUCUGCAAAUGAAAGGUGUUGGUGAGCGCCAUAGGAGCGGAGACCCUAUUGCUCUUCCUAUGAGCUGUUGCGUAGGCGAGCAGCUGGACCCGUGCUGCAGUGUCCCGUCCCUGCAGAUGAUUCUCCACAUCAGCAGAGAGCUGUCGCUUGUUUUGGUGCAUUCUAGGUUAAUUCACACCAAAUAGCUCUAAAUUUGGAUCUCUAGAGACUGAGUGUUGGUGAAAAAGAGCAGGUGCAACUCUUUCAGCUACGUUUCUUUGGUUUACCUCUUAUUCUUCUCCCAAGCCAUCUUCCUACCGUCUCUGGGUAGUGAUCUCUCUGCUGUGCUCGAGAGGAGAAAGUCAGGGUUGUUCUUCACCUGUGUCUCUGACAGGAGUGCUUAAGUAGGAAGCUAAGCUUUUUCUCUGCCAUCUCAUUCAUCCGCUGCAUCCCUCAGUCUCUGCACCUUAGCUCCUCCAUUCUUAAAAUGAGGCUGACAGGUCUUCUCUCUGCUUUCACAAAACCUUUGAGAGACAGGGAGAAAAAAGCUCAAGGCUUUCUUCUCGGGGAGACCAUAAAUCCUUCUCUCACUCUUCCUUUCACUCCCUUCUCUCUCCUAUUUUCCUCUCAUUUUAAGAGUUCUUAUUAUAUUCUGUCCCUCUAGGUCUCCUCUACUUCCACCACACUGGCAAUCUGUUUCUCUCUGCUGUUUCCACAUCCCCUUCUAUUUGCAGCUCCCUUCCUUCUGUUCAUGUCAUUUUAUUCUCUCACCCUGUAUCUCCUACCCUCCCCCAUUAUUCAUGUGCCACACUCUCUUCAUUCCUCCUCUCUCUGGUUGAUUCUCCUGGAUCCCUCUCUUGUGAGUCUCUCCACCUUGGACCUCUGUUUGCUUUCCUCUGCUGCCUGUCCUCAUAGCUUCGCUGCAUGGGAGCUGCUGACUGUGCCUGCAGGGCCGGCUAGCAAGGGCUGAGGGAAAAGGCCAGCACAUGGGAUCAGCCUGACAGCCUAAAGUCUGUCACAUUUUACCUCCUCGUGUCCCUGCACCUCCUAGGACACAGCCUCGUGGUUUGCUCUGGUCCUGGCUGCUUGUUCUACUCCCAUGCUCCCAGCCAUCCCCUGGCUUUUUGUGAUCUACCUGUGUAUGGUACAGCCACCUCCUGUGGCUAUCGCCUGGAGAUAUCUGUGCUUGUCACAAGGAGAGUGCCAGCCCCUUCAGGGAUGUGUGGCACGGAGGAGCUCUUUCCCAGGGUGGGUUGCAGUGGUGCAGCAGGCUGUUGGGAGUGCUGGCCAGGACAAGGCUGCUGGCAGCAAAGCAUCAAGAGGUCACACAGACGGCCGUGUGUUCAAGUUCAGCCGGUGUCUGUCAGGACAGGGCAUGGUGACUUUCUCCACUGUUUGUGAGUAACACAUCCAUCCCUGCCAGGCAUGACUCAGUCCUGGGCUAAUAGAAGUCACGGGCUUCGGCUCUACUACCCAAACGGUUCCUGAUUUCCCUCUUCUGUCUCUGCAGCAGACCGGCCUUGCAUCCAUUCCUCAGGCUCUAUGCAAGGUGCCAUACAGCCUUUUCAGUUUUUCCCACAGCUGUUUCUCCCCCCUCUCUGUACUUGCUUCACCAGUUUUACCUGGUCCUUCCCUCUUGCUCUGACUCUGGGUUAGGUCUCUCCCCAAACUCUUACCAUCACGUUCUUCAGCCUCGUUUGCCUCCCCAUCUAGUUUCCUCGUCUCCCUGGUCAUGCUAUCAACCGGAGUGAAGGGAGAAGGGCCAUUGAGACAGCAGAUCAGAGAGGAGAGGUGGAAUGCAGAGUGUUACUGGGUCAGUGUCUUUGCUUGCUGGUGGCUUUCAUCUCUCCCAGGUGUGUGCUAUUAGUGACAUAGCGAAAGUCACUUCUCCCAGAAAAGUGAUUUUCCCAUUGCUUCUACUUCACUAUCAGCAAGCUCCUGAAAGGUUAAUGAAGUCCUUCAAUGCAAAGAGAAAAAGCACGUCUUCCCAUGUUUUGCAUAAAUUAAUCCUGUAGGUGAUGGAGCAGCCCAUGUACAGGGCGCAGAACAUGUGACCCUAUCCUUGAGUCUCAUCACCCAAAGUGUAGGUGACCUGCCCCCUCCUGUCCUUGUCGUCAGCUCGGGUUAAACGUGGGGAAAAAGUCAUGGCCUCCCUACCCAUCUCAGUGCGUGUUUCGUUGCAUCUCAUGGGACUGGGGAGGAGUACCUAGGAGUGCUGCAAGCCUCCCCCGCCUCCCGUUACAGUGGAUCCUUGCUUCUCACAGAUCCUCUUUAGAAAAUGCCCUGUAUCAGGUUUGAGGCCCACUGGAUUUUUCUCUUGUCUGAGAAGGAUGGAAAAAGUCAUCCAAUUGGUUUUGAAUCACAUGAGUGGGAGCAGGAACCAACUCCAGAAGAUAAGUGCUCUGACCUUUACCUCGCUCGGAUAACUGAAAAUGAUAACAAAUAAAUACCUCUCGUUUCUAAGCUCAGACUUAGGGAUGUGUUCCUUCUGGAUGCUGCGGGAGGCAGAACCAGGGCUCUUGCAAGGGCUGGGAAUUCAAAACAGGCAACUGCCUGCAGUAAGCGGCAGCCCCUUCGCUUUCCUUUUCAGAAUGCAGCCGGUCCCAACUCAGACAUUUGAGACGGAAGAGGACAGGGCCGGUGUCCCAUCUCACCUGCCGUUCUGCUGCUGGGACCCUGCGUGUUUUUCUGGAGCUGGCACUGUCAGAGACCAUCAUCUUCUGCAGCUGCCCCGUGGGAGGUGCCGUGGAGAUGGCCUCUCUGCAGGAGGGUGGUGACAGGAGGUAUUUGUGGGGUCCUGCGGUGCAGUGUGCAGCUCAGGCACUGGCAAGAGGCAGCCCGUAUCCUGAAGGACGUCUUGUAGUCCAAAAUCAGGGCGUUCUUGCUGCUUUCUAUAGCGGUUGUGACUUGAUGUUCCUCCACCUGGGUGUUGCUUCCCUUCCUUCCUCUGUUACUCAGGGAGCUUGUUUGCUUGGUUUCUGCCAUCCAAACCACUGGCAGCCGAAGAGAGUCCUGUAUGCAGAGCUUGGGGAGAACGUUAGGAGGUUCCUGGCACUCAGUCAGCGUAAAGCGUCUUAUUUAUUGGUGUCUUCUGCUCAGGUGGGAUGCACUUCUGAUCUCAAGCUCCUCAAUUUCUCCCCUUUAACUGUUCAGAGACCCCUUGGUCCCAGUGUGUGCUUCUGCCGAACGCUGCCCCGACGAUGUAUCCACCAUUGCCUUGCUCAGACUUUGGGUUCGACAACUGUGUUUCUGUUAGAAGAUCUCCAACCCACCCCUUUCCUUAAGAUACCCAUAGAAAUGUGAUUCAAUGGGCCACGGGCUGCUCUGUUGCAGCAUGUGGAAGCAUGUGCGUUUCCAGUAUGCAAUCUGAUAUGCGUAUGGAUGAUUGCAUUUGUAGUCUGCUUGUGUAUCUGGGCCUGAGGAGGUAGCACGGAAGGCCUAGGCAGCUGGGAAGAAAGGAAUGACAGGACUGCCAAGGGAGGGAGGAGAGAGCUCGGGAGCUGCGAUGGGAGUGGGUAACAACAAGUGGAGGGAGGGGAUCAGAUUUAGGAGCCAUGUCGCUCACUGAAGAAAAUGGCAGAAGUAGGAUAUUGUUUGCAGAGGAUUGCGCUCGCACUCCUGUGUGUGAUGUAUGAAUCUUAUACUGAUGUGUCACACAAAGAAGUGGCACUUCUGUGGAAACGCCUCAGGCAGCUGGAGGGUCUGCUCCAGGACGUGUUGUCACUGGGUUAGGCUGGUGUAGGGAAUCCUGCUGGGCUCCCCUCUGACAGGCUUUGGGAAAGAGAAGCCCGUUCCGGAGGCGUGUGGAAGGGAAGGGGGGGAGCUGUGACUCACCAGGGAACAAUGAUCAUGUGAGGACAAAAGGGCAGGCUGGAAGAAGACCUGAAGACAAUGGCACAUUCCUGGUGUCCGCGGCUUUGGCUUUGGGCUUCUGGCUUGAAGUGGGAGAAAACAUUAAAGAAUGAAGUGCUUAGGAGCAAUAAAGGGAGCUGGUGAGAUAAAGCCAACAGGAAAGAGGAAUCAGGUUUUACUGCGUGCAGAGUUGUUCUGCGCCUUGAAGCAGACCUUGGAAAUCUCGAAGAAGCUGGAAGAAGGGAUGCAAGAAAAGAAGCAAUCCGUGUGGUGAAUGUGGUGGAACUGUUCUGUACUAUAGCAAAGACCCGUCAGUUUGCAGCCCCAGUGGCUGUGACAGGCUGAGCAGAGGUGCUGAGUUGCUCUGGUAGUGCGGGGAUGGGAGGCCAUGCACGUUUGUGAUGGCAGCACAGACAGGUGGGGCUGGAGAUCUGAGUCCUGCCUUGCAUUUGCAGGAUGUCCAGUUGCUUCAAAAGGUGCGUUUCAAUAAGUGGCUUUCUUCUUUCAGUCAGUAUGAAGCUGAAAUCAGCAAAUAAUGCAGGAGAAAAUCACGCCGCUGUUGCAAAGAACAUCUUUUGGGUGAGAAGCAACAGUUGAAUUCCUGUUCGACUUAAUCCCUAAGCUAACCAGGCAAAAAUGCAGUGCUCAAAGGUUUUGUUUUUAAGCUUUGUCUUACCACCAGUUCAACCCAAAUGGCAUUGGGCGAGGAACACCAUGCUGCCUGCCUGCUGCUGUUUCCAUCAACCAAAGGCAGGUCUAAGUGGUAGUUUUGCUAACAGCUGCUUUGACUUGGUGUCUCUUUACCUGAGAGUCUCAGUGCUGAGCUGGUGCAGCAACUCUGAGGCUAGGGGAGAGGAGGAGAAGCUGCAACAUAAACACGGCCUGACAGGCUGUCCUUUAUUUUUCUGACUGCAGUGAGAAGUCGGCUCUGUUAAAACCAGCCAGGCUGUAAGCAGAGUGAGCCUGGGAGAACGGGAGCUCCAUUUGCCAGUCAGCUGCUUCCCCCGGCCGUGCUGUGAGGUGCGCUGAGCCUCUGUUACCAAACGCUUGGGAUGUAAUUUCUAACCAUACGCAGCACUGAUGCGAAUCGUGCAACAAGUACAUCCAGUGUGCUUAAGUAACGUGUUGGUGGUAGAGGUACGCUGAGAAGGUGCCUGGGACUGGGUGAGGGUGAUCGAUAGGUUUUCCUGAACUGAACCACGAUGGGAUACGGCUCUGUGAAUGCACGGUGUCCUUUAGAGCAGGCGGUGACUUGGGCCAGCCAACGGGAGUGCCGCCGGAGAGCAUUGCUGCACCUUGGGAAGAGCCCUGAGGUCUGGGACUUGGCUUCCAGCAGGGCUUCUCUGCUGGGGAGGGACAGUCCAUCUCAAAAGCCAAGUGCUGGUGAGUCCAGGAGUCAUACAAUCACCCCUGGAUUUUUAUUUUAUUUUAUUUUUUUUUUGUGUGUGUGUGUGUGAACUCCUAGAAGUCAUCUAUGUUGGUAUAAAUGAGAUCAUUUGGCCUAAUUAGUUCCAAGCUUAAUUAGCAGUAAUUAUCCCAACAUGGGAGUAAUACCCGAGUAGGAAGUACUGAGUCCUCGAUUAGAUAGAUCUCUAAUUGGUGUUACAAUAUUGUAAUUAAAGCAUGCUUAUACGCCUCUGCCUCUACAAGUGAUUUGUUUUAUGUCUGAUUAAACAGGGAGUCCAGCAGCCUCGAGGAGGCCAGGACAUCACCGCUGAUUGAAACACUGUAUUAUUCUUUGUUAUAGGAAAGAGAUGAUGAAUCACAUCCACUAGAAAACACUGUGGGCCAAAUUAAUCCUUAGAGUAAUUGCUGCUGGAGUUGGGGAAAUUGCAACAGGGGUGAAUUUGGCCUCGAGUACGUAAGCUCUAUCUGUAUAUCACACGGUUAAACAAAUACUCAUUUGAAUGCGCAGUCUGGCAAUUACACAAUCAGACAAAUGCAAGUAACUUAGUCUGCGUUUGCAGUCGCUGGAUUGCACGAGUGAGUUUAUUCGGCUGCUGCGCCGUCGCUGCGAGAGGGCCUGCUCUGCUCAGGUGCUGCAGGCGCCUGGCCGGGAACGCUUCGCCCUGGGGCCUGCAGCAGUUCAGAUGGCUGCCAAGGGCUGCUGCCUCCCCUCGGUGCCUCAGGGAGCCAAAGGUGCCCGGAGCGCCCUCGGGAGCACCUUGCUAGCCGGCAGAGGGUCCCUUCCUUCAGCAUUAGCGCCUCUGAUCUGGCCGGUCCCUAGCAGCCCUUUGGGGGAACAGGUAAUCCUACAGUUUGAAGAAGUUAAAGAAGAAGAGAGCGAAACGGGAGCUUUCUGAAAUUAGUCAGCUUCAAAGCAUGAAAGCUUCCUAUGUCUUUUUAAGAAACCACCUCCUUAGAACUUGGCAAGUGCGGCGCUUUAUUACUUAUCUCUUCGCUACGUGAGUGGGCGACUGUACUUCCUGAUUCGGCUCUUCGAUAUAGAGAGAUCGGCAGCACAGGUCUGCAGGGGACAGCGACUCCUCGCCUACGGAGAGUAACAAAUAACAAUCGAGAUGUGUGCAUCUUCUGCCUGCCUCAGAAGUCCAGGCACAUUAGUUAGACUCGUAGCCAAAGGCGGGCGUGCAAACAGCUCUUUGCCAGCUGUUUCCAUGUUACAGUUGCGGCAACUGAGGCACAAAUCAGUUACUGGUCUUGCUGGAGUUUGUGAUGUGUACUCAACUGGCAGCAUGCAGCGGGUCUCAUCGCCUCCCGCUGCACUCACAGAAACCUUUUCAAAAGGAGGGAGUCCAAAAGGAGAGAGAUGAGCAGGGAAAUCAAACGCACCGCAUUCUGUUAAGGCAGCGUUAGGGAUAAGAACUGAAACGAGCCGUGUACGGGAAUUCAAAAGCGAGGGGUUUCCAUAGCAGCAUCGCUUGGCCAUAUUGUAUAUACGCUAUUUUGCAUUGCUCUCAUGAUAUCAAAGGCAUGGUCUAAUAUCUGUGCGUGCAAUAUGUCUGAAUCAGAGUUGCUAUGAAACUUAAGGCUGAAUUUCACCGCGGAGGCAUAUUCUUGCGCAGCGCUGGGAGGAAAUAACAGAGCGAGGUUUUGUUAAGAUUUUUCUCCGGUGAUACAUUUUUCUUAGAGAACUGCUGAUUUGCCAAAGCUGCUGCUAUUUUCAGGAAAUGGUGGUUCCAGUUUCGUAUCCCAACUUUAGGAAAAAGAUAAAAAAAAGUGGAGAAAAGUUUGGAAACUUCAAAUGCCCCGGCGUUUGAAAGCUCUCAAUACUGUAAUUCUGCCCUUCAGAGCGAUCAGUUCUUUUUAAGUAAAUUGCUACAAAAUACGUCUUAAGUUUGAAGUAAAGUGCUUCAAGAAGAUAAAAUGAAGUCUUGCCUUUGAUUCAUUUGAUCACAGUUUCUGGGUAUGGGUUGUGAAAGCAUCUUUUCCCCUUAAUUAGGUAUGGAACAAUGGCUUGAAAUCUCUGAAAGUUUCAAAGGAAGAGAAGGCCUUCCCCUCGCUCCGUUCAGCAGGUGAGGAGAUCCCAGGGAGGGGAGCUGCUGCCUCUCCCUGCUGGGUGCCCCACACCAGGGGUGGUGGGCCCCGUCCUUCCCACCUCUGUGUGCGCCGCAGGCAUUGGGCUCCUCUGUGCAGCACGGAUCUUCCCCGUGCUCAGCCCCACUCACAGCAUCUUAUCCAUGCUCUGAAGCUCUUCGGCGCGCAAGGAGGGACGUUCCACCCAGGAUUCAAAGGAGCACUCGCGCUCCUGGAAAAGCCCUGUGAGUUGGUUCAGCAUCAUCCUUUCUGCUGGCUGCAGAGUUCCCUCGCUGUCAGCAUUCCCAAAUGCUGGUGGAGCCCGCAUGCCAAUGCCUCCUUUCCUCCUGUGGCCUGCAUGCCGAUGUCUGCUCCUUUCCCCCUGCUCCCUGCUGUUGGAGUUGCCAAGCUUUUGCCUGCGCCUGAAGAGUUCAGACUUGCUUUGCCUUGCGUCGAAGCCGUUCUUGUUUAGGGAAGAGACUGCAGAAGGGGUGUGGGAUAGAGGAGAAAAGAUGACAGCUUGUUUUUGCUAUACGGCAGUGACAGAUGCCGGGUAAUAGACAGAGGCAAGCUGACAAACAUCUGAAUGAGUGGAAGAGACUCCUAACCCAAAGGGAGGAGUUGUGGUUUAGGUUAAAGCCACAAAGGAAGUGAAGGAGGUUACCACUUUCCUGUCUGUGGGCAGGAGGUUCUCCUUGUGAUCAUUUGAAGGCUUAGCUGUAGCUCGUUCUUCCCUAGGAACAUGCUCAUCCGUGUACUUCUUGAAAAGCAUUCGAUCUGCCUUCUGAUCUCGGGAGUGCCAAACAUCCCCUUUAUCCACAGAAGUCAGCAGGAGCUGAGAGUUCAAGAACUGGGAAUCGCAGCCUAAUUUAUGGAGCCAGAUUUUUUCAAGCGCAUUGUUCAGCCACAUGUUUUGUGUGGUGCUAGGGCGUGUAGUACAUUUCUCCUUGCCUCCUCCCCUAGCGGGUUCCACUCGGGUGUUUUGUUGUGAGUAUCGCUACCCCGGGGGCUGCUGGCUGGCUGCAGGCUGUAGCUUUCUUGUCCCUGAGCAACUUGUGAGUCCUGAUCCGGCGCUCUCGUGUGCUGGUGCAGACUCUGAACGCCAUCGGGUACCUACCGGCGUGGCCUCUGAUCGGUGUUUCCCUUGAUUUUCACGGCGUGCCUUACUUUGAAAGGCUCGGAGGUUCCAUCUGUACGUGGCAGAGGAGUCUGUUGUCUCGGUUCAAUGGCUUUGCCGCUCACCUGUGAGGAGAGCGGCUGGUUAACCCUGGUGUGCUGCAGGAGGCAUGCGUGGAGGGAGAUGAAAGAGAACGGGGCUGCCCUUUCAAGAAAGCAGACCUCAUCCUGAGCCCGAGCAUGGGCAUGAGAGCUGGCCGUCUUAACCCCAGCUAUCAGCUGGCUUCUGCACAGUGAGAAGCCCUGUCAGUGACAAUGACUUCGGUGUGCGCUGCCAGGACCUUCUGAUCACUGUGCACUACCGUACAUGAGAAGAGCAUCUGAAAGGUGCUCCCUGAAGAGCCAUUAUGUGUUCUGCGGUCUCUAACCUUCCAUUAGCAGAUCACCUUAGCCCCUAACCCUGGCCCUGGGAUGCAGAGGAGUCAUUUCAUCUACCAGGUGUGAAAAUCAUAUUCGAC
rnacentral:lncRNA from 1 species